rnacentral:lncRNA from 1 species
AAGCAAACAAGGAACCGAUUCUUUGCUUUCUGUGCUCUUGAGACUUUAAAUAUUUCUCCCCAUCUCAGUUUUGGUGGGAGAUGGGAGGGUAUUACAAGCUAUAAUGCAAUCAUUUGGAUGCUUAACUGCAGACGAGAAGAAUUGGGAAUGCUUUGUAAAAUUUCCCAAAAGAGUGAAAUGCUCUGUCAGGGGUCCAAUGCCCCCAUCCUCUGCUUGGACAAACAUCUCUGUCCAGCUGGGGCUGCCACAACGGACCAGACGGAGGAUGUUUUGGCUUCGGCUUCUUUACCAUGCUAAUGAAUCAGCCAGCUCUGCCACCCCCUGCCCUGGGCUGCGGAGCAACCUGAACGUCCCUUUUACGGAACCAAAGUGUGUUUGGUGUUUUUUGCAAGCCUGCUGCUCCUUGCGGAACGGAUGGUCCUGCCCACUUCUGGAUUCCUCGGGCUUUUGGUGGUGCCUGAUGGACACUAGGAAUGCAAUAGAAGACAAAUAAGUGGGAGAUUGGAUAUACCAGGUUAAAAUAGCCCAGUCCCCUAUGGGGUUCCUCCACAUUGACUACAGUUAGGUAAAUUCAAACCCUUAAACUCACAAGGCUUUGAAAACUGUGAUUGCGUGAAUCCUGAUUACAAACCACCUGAGGGAAUCAUUUGGCUCCCUAAGACCAGCUGAGUCUGUGUGCAAUAAAGGAGGAGAGAAACUCUGGAGAAAGGCCCAGGGAGACGGGGGAAACCAAAGAAAUAUUAGGAAGCCCCAUUCUCCAGAAGUGGCCAACAAUUUUCCUCCCACAUACAUUAAAAAGUAUAGUCUAUACUUCGACCAGACAGAAAAAAUAUGGACAUGAUCUGGGACAAAGUCAUCAAAUCUUUGAUCCCCUUGGGCACUCGAUAGAAUAAAUGGUUUUCCACAUCACACAGGAGAAUUUUAAGUGCUUUGGGUCUGUGGAAGUGGGGCAUAGUGGUGGUGACAUCUGUCAAACAAAGAAACCCUCAAAUGCUUUAAUGUGGUGGCUGCUGGAUGAGAGAGGCGCAGAAGUGACCGUCUCCUGUAAGCCAAUGGUUCUGGAAAUGGGGUCUCUGCAGCAGCAGCAGCAUCACCUGGGAGCUUGUUAGAAAGGUGGCUUCUUGGUCCCACCCAGGACUGACUGAAUCUGAAAUUCCAGGAGGGUUGUCCAGCUAUGUGCGUUUUAACAAGCCCUCCCCACGAUUCCAAUGCAGGCUGAAGUCUGAGAACCACUGACAUAAAGCAUUACCUUGCAGUGAGUGACUCGGGGCCAAGAGCCUGACCCAGGGCCACAGCCAUCGAGUGACCUAAAAAAAGUAAGGGAUGACUCAGCUGAGGAGCUGAGCGUGGCCAGGCCGCCUGUCCUGAGAGCCUGAGGGCAUACGCAGCCACAGGGGAUUGCAAAGCUGGUCUAACCCAACCCUAGGUAUCCCAUCUUACCACCAGCCUCUCCCGAUGCCUGUCGUGACUUGACCUACUGUGA